rnacentral:rRNA from 1 species
CAGCCGCCACGGUAAUACGUAGGUGGCGAGCGUUGUCCGGAAUUAUUGGGCGUAAAGGGAGCGCAAGCGGACAUAUAAGUCCAUCUUAAAAGUGCGGGGCUCAACCCCGUGAGGGGAUGGAAACUGUAUGCCUUGAGUGCAGGAGAGGAAAGCGGAAUUCCCAGUGUAGCGGUGAAAUGCGUAGAUAUUAGGAAGAACACCAGUGGCGAAGGCGACUUUCUGGACGAAAACUGACGCUGAGGCGCGAAAGCCAGGGGAGCGAACGGGAUUAGAUACCCGCGUAGUCCCUGUCUCUUAUACA